UCACCUGGUUGAUCCUGCCAGUGGUAUAUGCUUGUCUCAAAGACUAAGCCAUGCAAGUCUAAGUAUAAGUUAUUCUGAAGACGAAACUGCGAAUGGCUCGGUAAAACAGCAAUAAUUUCUUCGAUGAUGAGUUUACUCACGGAUAACCGUAGUAAUUCUAGAGCUAAUACGUGCUGAAAUAAAGUGGAUGAUGCGGGUUUUAUACUCUCUCCACUGUGCCGUUUAGAUAACAACACCAACAUUUUGGUGAUUCAUAAUCGUCUUUCUGAUCGCAAUUAAGCGACGCAUCGUUCAAAUUUCUGACCUAUCAACUUUCGAUGGUAAGGUAGUGUCUUACCAUGGUGGCAACGGGUAACGGACCGUGGGUGCGGGACUCCGGAGAGGGAGCCUGAGAAACGGCUACCACAUCCAAGGAAGGCAGCAGGCGCGCAACUUGCCCAAUCCAGACUCUGGGAGGCAGUGACAAGAAAUAUCAAUAGGGGUUCCUAUGGGACUCCUAAUUGGAAUGAGAACAAGCUAAACAGCUUAGCGAGAAUCCAGCAGAGGGCAAGUCUGGUGCCAGCAGCCGCGGUAAUUCCAGCUCUGUAAGCGUAUACCAAAGUUGUUGCAGUUAAAACGCUCGUAGUCGGACCUGAGCCAUACCCGAAUAUCAGGUGCACGUCAAGUGCCAGGCCAUAUUGUAGGUAUGUGCUUUAGUGGUGUCUCGCGUACGAUGAGGCAUGUUUAUUCGUGAACGUCGUGACGCAGCACCCUUUUUACUGUGAGAAAAUCAGAGUGCUCAAAGCAGGCAUUUGCCUUGAAUGUAUUAGCAUGGAAUAAUAGAAUAGGACUUGGUUCUAUUUUGUUGGUUUGUUGGGGCUGAGUAAUGAUUAAGAGGGACAGUUGGGGGCAUUUGUAUUUCGGCGCUAGAGGUGAAAUUCUUAGAUUGCCGAAAGACAUACUGCUGCGAAAGCGUCUGCCAAGGAUGUUUUCAUUGAUCAAGAACGAAAGUAAGGGGAUCGAAGACGAUCAGAUACCGUCGUAGUCUUUACUAUAAACGAUGAGGACUGGGGAUCGGGCGAGGGAAUAAAAUAAUGACCCGCCCGGCACCCUUCGAGAAAUCAAAGUGUUUGCUUUCUGGGGGGAGUAUGGUCGCAAGGCUGAAACUUAAAGGAAUUGACGGAAGGGCAUCACCGGGUGUGGAGCCUGCGGCUUAAUUUGACUCAACACGGGAAAACUUACCAGGUCAGGACAUAGUAAGGAUUGACAGAUUGAGAGCUCUUUCUUGAUUCUAUGGUUGGUGGUGCAUGGCCGUUCUUAGUUGGUGGAGUGAUUUGUCUGGUUAAUUCCGUUAACGAGCGAGACCUGGGCGUGCUAACUAGGGGCUACCAACUCUUUUGGUGGUAUGCUGUACCUUCUUAGACGGACUGUGGGCGUCUAGCCCACGGAAGCUCCAGGCAAUAACAGGUCUGAGAUGCCCUUAGAUGUUCUGGGCCGCACGCGUGCUACACUGCGUGGGUCAGCGGGUCAGGUUGCGCGAAAGCGUUUCCUAAUCUCGAAAUCCGCGCGUGACGGGGAUUAUCGGUUGCAAUUUUCUGAUAUGAACGAGGAAUACCUUGUAAGCGCGGGUCAUCAUCCCGCGCUGAAUACGUCCCUGCCCUUUGUACACACCGCCCGUCGCUCCUACCGAUUGAGUGGUCCGGUGAGGCUUUGGGAUCUGAGCGGAAAGAGCGCUUCGCUCGUUCUGCCUGGAGAACUCAGUCGAACCUUAUCAUUUAGAGGAAGGAGAAGUCGUAACAAGGUUUCCGUAGGUGAACCUGCAGAAGGAUCAAGCUA
rnacentral:rRNA from 1 species